rnacentral:tRNA from 1 species
GUUGGGAUAGCUCAGUCGGUAGAGCAGAGGACUGAAAAUC